UACGUAGGGUGCAAGCGUUGUCCGGAAUUAUUGGGCGUAAAGAGCGUGUAGGCGGCCCGAUUAGUCCGCUGUGAAAGUCGGGGGCUCAACCCUCGAAAGCCGGUGGAUACUGUCGGGCUCGAGUGCGGAAGAGGCGAGUGGAAUUCCUGGUGUAGCGGUGAAAUGCGCAGAUAUCAGGAGGAACACCGAUUGCGAAGGCAGCUCGCUGGGACGUUACUGACGCUGAGACGCGAAAGCGUGGGGAGCAAACAGG
rnacentral:rRNA from 1 species